AUCCCCCUAACCCCCUUAUGCCCUGGUAACCAUGAGCUUGUUUUCUAGUGAUGGCCCUCUCUAAAGGGAGGUUAAUCGUUCACACUGGGUAAGAACAAUCAUUUACAAGCUCAUGACAGCUUGCCUGUUUUGCUCUUCACUUUGCCCCCGUGAGUUAGGAGGAGCAGAUGCUGCCUCCGUUUUACAGAAGCAGCUGAGGCAUAGAAGAGUGGCAGUUGCCUGUGUGAGCCCACACGCCCUAGAACAGUCCCUGUGAUGAUCCGGAGGUAUUAACAUUGAGGGACUGAGCCUGACUCUCUACUGACAGAAGUUAAAGUCUGAGGACUUCACUUCUUAGUGGAGCAGGAACAUGGUAAUGAGAAGACCUGCAUGUGUACUGAAAAAUGUUUGCUGAGCAAGGGGUCCCAGGGAGAAGCAAGAGCUGAAGAACACAGUGCCGAACGGAAGUGCCGGACAUCCACCGCUGAGCAAGGACUGUGAAACCAUUCACGGAUGGAUUUUGACCCGUUAGGGAAUAGAUACCAAAUGUUUUUUGACCCUGUCAGGAUCAAGAGAAAAAUCAGUAAUUCAGUGAUUACUUUAAAAAAAUAAUUUA